rnacentral:rRNA from 1 species
CGCGUAGGCGGCCUACUAAGUCAGACGUGAAAUCCCCCGGCUUAACCUGGGAACUGCGUCUGAUACUGGAAGGCUUGAGGAUGGGAGAGGGAUGUAGAAUUCCAGGUGUAGCGGUGAAAUGCGUAGAUAUCUGGAGGAAUACCGGUGGCGAAGGCGGCAUCCUGGACCAUUACUGACGCUGAGGCGCGAAAGCUGGGGAGCAAACG